rnacentral:misc_RNA from 1 species
GAUUCAAAAGUACGGCUGAUGAAUGUCAAUGGCGCUAGCUUUCAUGACGGAUGUGACGUCACAGUGUACUAAGGUCUGUUGGAAGUGAAUCGUUUGUCGUCCCGUUAUUGACCCUCACCAUUGAAUACAUAACCACAUACAUCAACAAUACUAGGUAAGAUGGAAUCAAAAGCGGUCGUUGCCGAGGCCCCCAACCAAAACCUCAUGGAUGAAGAUGAUUUUGAGUCCCAAUCAUCAGCUAAAGAAGAAGAUGAUGACGAACAGUCAAAGGAAGUGGUCAUUGUUGACCCAACAGCUUUGGAUGUUGACUUAAGUCAUUGCAAGAUUGGUAAGAUUGAACAGAUGGAGAAACUUACCAAUGUUACGAGUUUGUGUCUACGACAGAAUUUGAUCAAGUGUAUUGAAGGUUUAUCGACUUUGGUCCAUUUAAAUAUGUUGGAUCUGUAUGACAACCAAAUAACAAAAAUAGAAAAUUUAACAGAGCUGACUAAUUUAACUCAACUAGAUUUCUCUUUUAACCGGAUCAAGAAAAUAGAAAAUAUUUCUCAUUUGACUAACUUGGUCAAGUUAUAUUUAGUGAAUAACAAAAUAACCGUCAUCGAGAACCUUGAAACACUCGUUAACCUGGAUAUGCUGGAAUUGGGUUCCAAUAAGAUUCGGGUCAUCGAGAAUUUAAACACCCAUACCAAUAUAACUGGCUUAUACCUGGGCAAGAAUAAAAUUACUCAGAUUUCUGGUUUAGAUAACCUUGUCAACUUGACAUGUCUCAGUCUGCAGGACAACCGCUUGACUAAAAUUGAAGGUCUGGAUGCCUUGGUGAACUUAGAUGAACUCUACCUGAGUGACAACGGCAUUGAAAAGAUUGAAGGGUUGUCAAAUAAUACCCAGUUAACAGUCCUUGAUCUUGCCUGUAACAAAAUACAGAGAAUAGAAAAUGUCUGCCAUUUAGUCAAUCUUGGUGAUUUUUGGUUUAACAACAACCAGCUUUCUAACUGGGAUGACCUGAAGGAGUUGGCCUGCUUAGCAGAACUACGGACCGUCUACCUCGAGCACAACACAAUUUGGUACGAACCUAGUGAGAAGAACUGCCAAGAUCCAGCCUAUCGACGGAAAGUCAAAUUAAUGUUGCCACAGGUAACACAAAUUGAUGCCACAUAUUGUCGUUAGAGGGAGCCACUUAUUUCCCUCCCUUGAUUUAAACUUCCUGUUACUAGUUUUUUUUUUUGUUCCUUUGUUUGGGUAUUUUUCUUCUUGUCUUCAUUUUUAAUCUUUACAUAUGUACAAAGUUCCAACAUGUUUUUCUUUUUAUUGUGUAUGUGUCUGUGUCAGUUUAGUAGUAACUGUUAUUACCUCUUCUGUGACCAUGGUUUCAUGCUGGUAAUGAGAUUUUUCGACACAGCAGCAAUCUUCAGUGGACUUGGCUGAAAAAGCUUUAGAUAAGCUGCUAGUUUGUAGCUUCCUGAACCAAAUCUGUAUUGCUGAAGGCCACGGCAUCCCAGAUACAUGGAUUCCAAUGUAAAACCAUGCCACUGUAGCAACAGACGCACAUGUCGACAUUCUCUACCAGACUCCGUGUGUGUGUGUAUGUGUGUGCAUUUAUAUGAAAAAUAGGCAUAUUUAAUGAAGCUAUUCUAUGUUUGGGUGUCUAUUUAUCUGUGUGUGUGUGUGUAUGCACACACACACA